GACGAUUUUUACGAAAUAUUGCUAGAAUUUAAAAAUGAUUGCGUAAAUUAUUAAUUGUAUUGUUUCAUUCGUGAUUCGACUAUAUCUUCGAAGUUUGAAUUACUAAUUAUCGAUAUCCAUGAAUAAAACAACGAUCAAACGAAAGUUGUACUGAUAAUAAAAUCAUACCAAUUACCAUACCUUGGCUGAGACGAUUCGAUUACGUAUAUUUUUUGCGAUCAUUGAAAUGCAAUUAGUAGGUAAUGGUCGAACAUUAAUUUUUGUAGAUUUUAAAACAGCAGGUUCCAAAGUCCGACUGCUGUAUCUAAUUACGACUAUUAUAGAAUGUUUUCACUCUUUUUAACUGUGAUAAUAGUGAUGAGUUUCAGUUUUAGGUCAUUUUUAUCAAAUACCUAUUUCAUGUUUGAAUGAUUUUACUCGCAGUCUCUCAGCAAUUCGAAUCGAAAAUCUUCAUAAUCUGAAAAUUGAUAACAACUUACUGCAACUGCAUGAAAUUGAAUAGAUUUCAAUCAUGUAUCGUCAUAUAGUUAUAUUUGAACGAGUUUAAAUUAUUGAUUAGUGUCGAGUUGAGCAGUAUGAUUUUCAAAAUGUUAUUUUUAUUGUUCUAUUCGUUUUUAUUCGUUACUUCUUCGGUUAACGAAGCUGCAAGUGAGGAAUUGCACGAAGAAAAGUCACCUGCCGAAAUACAAGAUCCAAUAACGCUAAGUGAAACUAAAGGUAAUCCCGUAACGAUGAUAUGUGAUUUAAAAUCGAAUGGAACAACGGAUAUAAUUUGGAAGAAAAAUAACACUCAACUGAUCAGUAAUUCGCAUUACAAUAUAUCGCAAUCGCUUCCAGAAUAUCAGAAUAACAGCAUCAUAAGCUGGAGAUCUACUUUGAAAAUUUCUUCUUCAACUUCAAACGACACUGGAACGUAUAAUUGUGAGUUUAAUGCAACAAGCAACGACUUUAGAACUUUCAAGUUAACUGUGAUUGAUUCGUCCAAUUCACGAGACCUCUGGCUGUCUUAUCUUUUCAUUUUGACUGUAAUUUGUAUUUGUAUAUUGGGCGUGUAUGUCCUAAAGUACGCGUGUAAAUUGUAAUCGGUGUGAUAUUUUCGUGGUUUAUUUUUAAAUCAGUGUUAUUUUUUGUCUAAGAAUUCGUUUUUUAGCUAAUAAAUAGAAUGUACAUAUUA